rnacentral:rRNA from 1 species
CCUUCGGGGGACGAUAACGGCGUCGAGCGGCGGACGGGUGAGUAAUGCCUAGGAAAUUGCCCUGAUGUGGGGGAUAACCAUUGGAAACGAUGGCUAAUACCGCAUGAUGCCUACGGGCCAAAGAGGGGGACCUUCGGGCCUCUCGCGUCAGGAUAUGCCUAGGUGGGAUUAGCUAGUUGGUGAGGUAAGGGCUCACCAAGGCGACGAUCCCUAGCUGGUCUGAGAGGAUGAUCAGCCACACUGGAACUGAGACACGGUCCAGACUCCUACGGGAGGCAGCAGUGGGGAAUAUUGCACAAUGGGCGCAAGCCUGAUGCAGCCAUGCCGCGUGUGUGAAGAAGGCCUUCGGGUUGUAAAGCACUUUCAGUCGUGAGGAAGGUGGUGUAGUUAAUAGCUGCAUUAUUUGACGUUAGCGACAGAAGAAGCACCGGCUAACUCCGUGCCAGCAGCCGCGGUAAUACGGAGGGUGCGAGCGUUAAUCGGAAUUACUGGGCGUAAAGCGCAUGCAGGUGGUUUGUUAAGUCAGAUGUGAAAGCCCGGGGCUCAACCUCGGAAUUGCAUUUGAAACUGGCAGACUAGAGUACUGUAGAGGGGGGUAGAAUUUCAGGUGUAGCGGUGAAAUGCGUAGAGAUCUGAAGGAAUACCGGUGGCGAAGGCGGCCCCCUGGACAGAUACUGACACUCAGAUGCGAAAGCGUGGGGAGCAAACAGGAUUAGAUACCCUGGUAGUCCACGCCGUAAACGAUGUCUACUUGGAGGUUGUGGCCUUGAGCCGUGGCUUUCGGAGCUAACGCGUUAAGUAGACCGCCUGGGGAGUACGGUCGCAAGAUUAAAACUCAAAUGAAUUGACGGGGGCCCGCACAAGCGGUGGAGCAUGUGGUUUAAUUCGAUGCAACGCGAAGAACCUUACCUACUCUUGACAUCCAGAGAACUUUCCAGAGAUGGAUUGGUGCCUUCGGGAACUCUGAGACAGGUGCUGCAUGGCUGUCGUCAGCUCGUGUUGUGAAAUGUUGGGUUAAGUCCCGCAACGAGCGCAACCCUUAUCCUUGUUUGCCAGCGAGUAAUGUCGGGAACUCCAGGGAGACUGCCGGUGAUAAACCGGAGGAAGGUGGGGACGACGUCAAGUCAUCAUGGCCCUUACGAGUAGGGCUACACACGUGCUACAAUGGCGCAUACAGAGGGCGGCCAACUUGCGAAAGUGAGCGAAUCCCAAAAAGUGCGUCGUAGUCCGGAUUGGAGUCUGCAACUCGACUCCAUGAAGUCGGAAUCGCUAGUAAUCGUGGAUCAGAAUGCCACGGUGAAUACGUUCCCGGGCCUUGUACACACCGCCCGUCACACCAUGGGAGUGGGCUGCAAAAGAAGUAGGU